ACGGUCCUAAGGUAGCGAAAUUCCUUGUCGGGUAAGUUCCGACCUGCACGAAUGGCGUAACGACUUCCCCACUGUCUCGACCAGGAGCUCGGCGAAAUUGCAGUACGAGUAAAGAUGCUCGUUAAGCGCAGAAGGACGAAAAGACCCCGGGACCUUUACUAUACCUUGGUAUUGGCAUUCGGUGUGGAUUGUGUAGCAUAGGCGGGAGGCCGAGAGGCGCGGUCGCCAGAUCGCGCGGAGCCGUAAGGUGAAAUACCGCUCUGUUCGCAUUGGAUGUCUAACCUCGAACAGUCAUCCUGUUCAGGGACAGUGCCUGGCGGGUAGUUCAACUGGGGCGGUUGCCUCCCAAAGAGUAACGGAGGCGCCCAAAGGUCCGCUCAGCCCGGUUGGCAAUCGGGUGGCGAGUGCAAGUGCACAAGCGGGCUUGACUGCGAGGACGACGGUCCGAGCAGGGACGAAAGUCGGGACUAGUGAUCCGGUGCCGGUGUACGGACGCGGCAUCGCUCAACGGAUAAAAGGUACUCCGGGGAUAACAGGCUGAUCAUUCCCAAGAGUCCAUAUCGACGGGAUGGUUUGGCACCUCGAUGUCGGCUCGUCGCAUCCUGGGGCUGGAGCAGGUCCCAAGGGUUCGGCUGUUCGCCGAUUAAAGCGGCACGCGAGCUGGGUUCAGAACGUCGUGAGACAGUUUGGUCUCUAUCCUCUGCGCUCGUUGGAAUGCUGAGGAGGCCUGCCCAUAGUACGAGAGGACCUGGGUGGACGAACCUCUGGUAUGCCGGUUGUCACGCCAGUGGCACGGCCGGUUGGCUACGUUCGGAAGGGAUAACCGCUGAAAGCAUCUAAGCGGGAAGCCUGCUCCAAGAUAAGCAUUCCGUGGAACCUUCGAGUUCCUGUAGUCCCCAUGCAGAACACGUGGUCGAUAGGCCGGACGUGGAAGCCCCGCGAGGGGUGGAGCCGACCGGUACUAACGGACGAAAGGCAACACUAA
rnacentral:rRNA from 1 species